UACGUAGGUGGCAAGCGUUGUCCGGAAUUACUGGGUGUAAAGGGAGCGUAGGCGGGAAGGCAAGUUGAAUGUGAAAACUAUGGGCUCAACCCAUAGUUGCGUUCAAAACUGUUUUUCUUGAGUGAAGUAGAGGUAGGCGGAAUUCCUAGUGUAGCGGUGAAAUGCGUAAAUAUUAGGAGGAACACCAGUGGCGAAGGCGGCCUACUGGGCUUUAACUGACGCUGAGGCUCGAAAGCGUGGGUAGCAAACA
rnacentral:rRNA from 1 species